ensembl:ncRNA lncRNA:CR45472 long non-coding RNA:CR45472
AACCAGAAAAGCAAUUCCAGUGUAAGCACUCCAUAAAAGUGGUUAUGAUAUAUUCAACAUCAAAAAUUACAGAUUUACAGAUUGAUAGUAUUAACCAAUUAAAUGAAGAGUUCUAAAUCUAAAUUUAAUUAGUAUCGCUCUUUUCGGUUAUAUUUAUUUUAUUUUUUAUCACUUAAAACAAUGUACACAUUUUUGCCUUAUAAAAGAAAUUUCAAAACAUCGAUUAUAAGUUGUUAUUAUACAUUUUUUUACAGGCGUGGAAAAAUUCUUGUAAACCGCUUAAAAUAUACGCUAUGUUUGAUGUCCAGCCAGUCGACUUGUCAGUUUUCUCACCUUAACAGCAAUACAGACUUGACUAUUUUGCCAACUGCAACGAAAUAAGAUGGUAGCCACUGUAAAUAUCUGCACACAUUGUUAUUUGUUUACAUGCUAACUUUGGAGACACAGUUCAACUUAACUGCGCCUUAGCUGAGCAGCAAUAUCAUUAUCGUUAUCUAUGCAAAUUAGCUGCGGGAGCAUCUAAGCUCUCCCCUCUCUCGCACUUUCUAUUUCAGUCUCUCUGCACCUACACGUAUCGUUCUGUUGUUCGCUCUGUUCCACUUAGAAUGAUCAUUAUCGUUUGCUUGCGUACCAUUCUACAUGUCGCAUCAAUGCACUUUUCGUUCGCUACGCCAAUAAAACAAAUCGUUCAAAAUCCCAAAUAAACC